rnacentral:misc_RNA from 1 species
AAAAGUCGUAACAAGGUUUCCGUAGGUGAACCUGCGGAAGGAUCAUUAACACUUUUUAUUAUUUUGUUUUUUUUCUAAAACAAAAUUUAAAACCCCACAAUUUUGGAUGAAUUUAAUUUAUUUAUUUUUUAUUUUAUUUUUUUUAUUAUAACCCUAUUAUUUGACUAACAUUUUUAUUUAAUUAUUAAAAAUUAAAAAAACAACUCUUAACAACGGAUAUCUUGGCUCUCG